rnacentral:rRNA from 1 species
AUUGAACGCUGGCGGCAUGCCUUACACAUGCAAGUCGAACGGCAGCACGGGAGCAAUCCUGGUGGCGAGUGGCGAACGGGUGAGUAAUACAUCGGAACGUGCCCUGUAGUGGGGGAUAACCCGGCGAAAGCCGGACUAAUACCGCAUACGACCUACGGGUGAAAGCAGGGGAUCGCAAGACCUUGCGCUAUCGGAGCGGCCGAUGUCAGAUUAGCUAGUUGGUGGGGUAAAAGCCCACCAAGGCGACGAUCUGUAGCUGGUCUGAGAGGACGACCAGCCACACUGGGACUGAGACACGGCCCAGACUCCUACGGGAGGCAGCAGUGGGGAAUUUUGGACAAUGGGCGCAAGCCUGAUCCAGCCAUGCCGCGUGC